AGUGAACGCUGGCGGCAGGCCUAACACAUGCAAGUCGAACGGCAGCACAGUAAGAGUUUCUUCUUACCGGUGGCGAGUGGCGGACGGGUGAGGAAUACAUCGGACUCUACUUUUUCGUGGGGGAUAACGUAGGGAAACUUACGCUUAUACCACAUACGACCUACGGGUGAAAGCAGGGCAUCUUCGCAUCUUGCGCGAUUGUAUGAGCCGAUGUCGGAUUAGCUAGUUGGCGGGGUAAAGGCCCACCAAGGCGACGAUCCGUAGCUGGUCUGAGAGGAUGAUCAGCCACACUGGAACUGAGACACGGUCCAGACUCCUACGGGAGGCAGCAGUGGGGAAUAUUGGACAAUGGGCGCAAGCCUGAUCCAGCCAUGCCGCGUGGGUGAAGAAGGCCUUCGGGUUGUAAAGCCCUUUUGUUGGGAAAGAAGAGCAGCAAGUUAAUACCUCGCUGUACUGACGGUACCCGAAGAAUAAGCACCGGCUAACUUCGUG
rnacentral:rRNA from 1 species